rfam:Cavia porcellus supercont2_25 genomic scaffold, whole genome shotgun sequence.
UUACAGAAAGAAAACACAGGGGGAGGGAGUGGUCUCAGAAGUCUAGAGGAACUGACCCAGUACCGGGAAGCCCUUUGGGCCCAGGCUGGGCCCCCGU